CACAACUAUGUGGAGAGCAAGGGGAGUGAGACGCAGAGAAACAGAGUGCGAGAGAGAUAGGGAGAUAGAGGGAGAGAGAGAAGGAGAGAUAGGGAGAGAGGGAGAGAGAGGGAGAUGUCGAAGGGGGGAGAGAAAGAAGGUGCAGCCGGAGGACACAGGAGUGUUUUCUGGUCGUUUUAUUGAGGAAAAAGAGCACAAAGCGCCAAUUGAGAGAGGAUGAACGACUACAGCACAGCACGGGGCAGGAACAUCAUGAAUAAAAGAGAGCGAGAGGGUGAGAGAGAGAGAGAGAGAGAGAGAGAGAGAGAGAGAGAGAGAGAGAGAGAGAGAGAGAGAGAGAGAGAGACAGAAAGCAGGAGAGAGAGAGAGAUUGGGGGGGGAAGGAGAGAGCAUGAAGACAGAGCAAAUGAGAGAGCAGGAGAGAGGCAAAGCUUGCAGUGAGCUUGAAGGAAGACUAAAGUGUGUUGAUAGAGGAAGUGUCGGUGACAUGCGGGCCAUGUGCUCAGGUCAGAACUCUCUCACGGGAGCAAUGCGUCUACGGAUCCUGCAGUCGGGUCGGUGGACCGGCCGCUAUGGAGCGCCGUUCCCGUACCCCCGUCCUCCACCCGGGCGGCGGAACGGGAAACCCGCACGCCGCGCACGAGGGACGCUCCUCAUGAUCUUACCAGUGUGAAGGAGAAGACUGUGAGCUGAUACCGGAUAGAGACUCAGCGAUGGAGUGCAGCCGGUAAGAUGCAUUGCUUUCAUCCAUCCUUAGGUCACGGUACACAGCGCACAAGAACUUAAUAAGCGCUCUCGUUUGAACACAGAGAAAAUUGGCUCAGAGGGAGAAAUGAAACGGAAAUCUAUCACACUCUAACAGUGUGUUGUGUUUGAAGGUGAUCGUAAUCAUUCUCAGGGUUUAUGUUUGAUUCUAUUGUUGACACACCCCCCGAUGGAAACCCAGAAAAAGGAAUCCGGCUCUAGUAUUAUCAAAGAAAUCAGUUUCACCUUCAGUUCGUCUGUUGACUAAAAGCACAUUAGAGAAGCAGUCCCAGAGCCGUCUCCAAACACAGAUGUCUCAUGAGAAGUGGUGCGACCAUCAAAUGAUGACUCUGGUGUUCUGCAUACGAACACGAUUUCAAGUAACAAUGGACGUCUAUGUCCCUGAGAAGUUCUUUUCUCAAACGGUUGUUUCGCCGGACGGACAGUAUAUAUACCGCUGAGCCUCGGCCGGUGAUUGGUCGGUCGGUCACUUCAACGGUGGAUGUUGGCAAUAAGAAAUACACUCAAUUCUUCUGACCUUGUGCUCUCACACACACGAGACGCUUCCCAUGAAAUAAACAUGGAGAACUGCAUCAAACAUGGGAUAAUAAACGCAGCUCAAUAUCCUCCUCGCGCAUUUCCUUCCGUCUCCUCCUGUCCAUCUCCUCCCUGUAAUUUCUUUCUUUUUCUGUGUUCUGAGCAAAAAAAUGACUUUAGACAGAGUUCAUGUGUUUUUUAUUUCACGCUCCAAGACAAACCGUAUGAAAUGCUCUCUUCAUUUACACUGUACCACAAUAUUCAGAAGACAGGAACACACAAACACACACACACACACACACGCACAUACACACAGACAUACACACUCUGCUCAGCCCACACACUCCCACAUGUUUCCUCUGCCUCUGCUCUCUUCACAUGUGAGUCCAUGACAUCAUUAAAGUCUUAAAAAAAUAAUGAAAAUGUGUGUGGGUACUGCAUGUGGGCAGACAACGCCGCUUUAUGUUACCGUGCCUGUGUGUGUGUGUGUGUGUGUGUGUAGUGUGUGUGUGUGUGUGUGUGUGUGUGUGUGUGUGUGUGUGUGUGUGUGUGUGUGUGUGCGUGCGUGUGUGUGUGUGUGUGCGUGAGAGAGGGGAGAGAGAGAUUGAGAGUGUGUGUGUGUGUGUGUGUGUGUGUGUGUGUGUGUGUGCGUGUGCGUGUGUGUUUGUGAGUGUGUGCGUCUCUCCGUCUGAGUAUAAUGUUGUGGAGAAGAGUGAAUGCAAAGCUUUCCAAAGCAUCAGAACUGUGUGUGUGUGUGUGUGUGUUGUGUGUGUGUGUGUGUGUGUGUGUGUGUGUGUGUGUGUGUGUGUGUGUGUGUGUGUGUGUGUGUGUGUGCCCAGCCGGAGGCUUUGGUCUUGGGCUCUUGCUGCCUCCCACGCUUGGGGUCAGG
ensembl:lncRNA